rnacentral:rRNA from 1 species
UCAGAACGAACGCUGGCGGCGUGGAUUAGGCAUGCAAGUCGAACGAGAAAGCUUCCUUCGGGAAGCGAGUAAAGUGGCGAAAGGGUGAGUAAUGUAUGGAUGACUUACCCUCGAGACGGGGACAACAGCCCGAAAGGGCUGCUAAUACCCGAUGGUUCCUGCAGCUCGCGGGCUGCCGGAUAAAUGGUGCUUCCGCUUGGGGAGGAAUCCAUGGCCUAUCAGCUUGUUGGUGGGGUAACGGCCCACCAAGGCAAAGACGGGUAGCCGGACUUAGCGGUUGAUCGGCCACACUGGGACUGAGACACUGCCUAGACUCCUACGGGAGGCUGCAGUCGAGAAUCUUCCGCAAUGGACGAAAGUCUGACGGAGCGACGCCGCGUGCAGGAUGAAGGCCUUCGGGUUGUAAACUGCUGUCAGAUGUUAUGAACAAGUACAGUCCAGCUUGCCCUGACAAAAGCAUCAGAGGAAGCCACGGCUAACUUCGUGCCAGCAGCCGCGGUAAGACGAAGGUGGCAAGCGUUGUUCGGAAUCACUGGGCAUAAAGCGCGCGUAGGCGGGAUAGCAAGUCGGGUGUGAAAUCCCUCGGCCCAACCGAGGAACUGCGCCCGAAACUGCUAUUCUUGAGGACAGAAGGGGAGCAUGGAAUUCCUGGUGGAGCGGUGAAAUGCGUUGAUAUCCGGAGGAACACCGGCGGCGAAGGCGACACACUGGUCCGAUUCUGACGCUGAGGUACGAAAGCUAGGGGAGCAAACGGGAUUAGAUACCCCGGUAGUCCUAGCCCUAAACGAUGGGUACUAAGUAGAGGGGGUUCCGAUACCUUCUCUGCCGGAGUUAAUAUUUUAAGUGCCCCGCCUGGGGAGUAUGAUCGCAAGGUUGAAACUCAAAGGAAUUGACGGGGGCUCACACAAGCGGUGGAGCAUGUUGUUUAAUUCGAAGCAACGCGAAGAACCUUACCUGGGUUUGACAUGCAGGGAUUAACCUUGUGAAAGCAAGGGGCUGCCCUUCGGGGUGAAACUUAGACAGGUGUUGCAUGGCUGUCGUCAGCUCGUGUCGUGAGAUGUCGGGUUAAGUCCCUCAACGAGCGAAACCCUUGUCUCUAGUUGCCAGCGGGUCAUGCCGGGGACUCUAGAGAGACUGCCGUUGUGAAAACGGAGGAAGGUGGGGAUGACGUCAAGUCAUCAUGGCCUUUAUGUCCGGGGCUACACACGUGCUACAAUGGCCGGUACAGAGGGAAGCAAAACCGCGAGGUCAAGCAAAUCCCACAAAGCCGGCCCCAGUUCGGAUUGGAGGCUGCAACUCGCCUCCAUGAAGGUGGAAUCGCUAGUAAUCGCGGAUCAGCUACGCCGCGGUGAAUAUGUUCCUGGGCCUUGUACACACCGCCCGUCAAGCCACGAGAGCCGGCAGUGCCCGAAGUCGCGUACCCAACCUUCGGGAGGGGAGUGCCUACGGUAAGACCGGUGAUUGGGACUAAG